GGCUCAGAUUGAACGCUGGCGGCAUGCCUUACACAUGCAAGUCGAACGGCAGCACGGGAGCAAUCCUGGUGGCGAGUGGCGAACGGGUGAGUAAUAUAUCGGAACGUGCCCAGUCGUGGGGGAUAACGUAGAGAAAUUUACGCUAAUACCGCAUACGAUCUAAGGAUGAAAGCGGGGGACCGUAAGGCCUCGCGCGAUUGGAGCGGCUGAUAUCAGAUUAGGUUGUUGGUGAGGUAGAAGCUCACCAAGCCGACGAUCUGUAGCUGGUUUGAGAGAACGACCAGCCACACUGGGACUGAGACACGGCCCAGACUCCUACGGGAGGCAGCAGUGGGGAAUUUUGGACAAUGGGCGAAAGCCUGAUCCAGCAAUGCCGCGUGCAGGAAGAAGGCCUUCGGGUUGUAAACUGCUUUUGUACGGAACGAAAAGGUCUGCCCUAAUACGGCGGGCCCAUGACGGUACCGUAAGAAUAAGCACCGGCUAACUACGUG
rnacentral:rRNA from 1 species